rnacentral:rRNA from 1 species
UAAUACGAAGGGUGCAAGCGUUAAUCGGAAUUACUGGGCGUAAAGCGUGCGUAGGCGGUUUCUUAAGUCUGCUGUGAAAGCCCCGGGCUCAACCUGGGAAUGGCGGUGGAUACUGAGAAGCUGGAGUACGGUAGAGGAAGGUGGAAUUCCCGGUGUAGCGGUGAAAUGCGUAGAGAUCGGGAGGAACAUCAGUGGCGAAGGCGGCCUUCUGGACCAGUACUGACGCUGAGGCACGAAAGCGUGGGGAGCAAACAGGAUUAGAUACCCUGGUAGUCCACGCCCUAAACGAUGCGGACUGGACGUUGGGAGCAACUUGGCUCUCAGUGUCGAAGCUAACGCGUUAAGUCCGCCGCCUGGGGAGUACGCUCGCAAGAGUG